UAAAACCAUGGGUAAUUAGAAAUCAUAAGAGAAUGACAGUCGACAGCCUUUAUUUCACAUAUCUACCUAGGACUUCAGUUUAAUGAGGGUCACUUGAGAAGCUUAAUUGACCAUACUGUACUUGAAGUACUUUUAUGAUCACUCAACAAAGCGACGGAGAAGUUUUAAAGAUCGCAAAUGCGAGGAUACAAUGUGUACAACACGUACAGAAGCUUGCAAAAAACAUGCAUCGUUUGUUUCAAAUGUCAUCCAUGUUGCAGCAAAGUUGGAUUUUGUCGAUUUUGUGGCACUUCAACAUCUCCAUUUACACUCAUCCCUAAAGAAUAUUGCUCAUGCAGUAAGUCCGGGAGUUCUCAAAUGGAAAAUAAGAGUUUCCUUAUUUAUCAAGGAGAAAAUUAAAUUUUUCAUAAGCUAUUACAAGCGUUAUUUCCAGCGAUGAAUCGUUCAUUAUACGUGUUAAAAAUUAUAACAAUAUAAACCUAAACGUAUCAAUUGUAGAAUCGAACUUCUUUACCUUAUAUGAAACAUUGUGAAUGGAAAUGUUUAGUUUGUAGCUGUUUAUUGUACACGGCACAUCACUUUACCAAGUAAAUGUGUUUAAUUACUGUUUAACGAAUAA